rnacentral:rRNA from 1 species
CAGCCGCCGCGGUAAUACGUAGGGUGCGAGCGUUAAUCGGAUUUACUGGGCGUAAAGCGUGCGCAGGCGGCCCGUUAAGACAGGUGUGAAAUCCCUGGGCUCAACCUAGGAAUUGCGCUUGUGACUGGCGGGCUCGAGUACGGUAGAGGGGGGUGGAAUUCCUGGUGUAGCAGUGAAAUGCGUAGAGAUCAGGAGGAACACCGAUGGCGAAGGCAGCCCCCUGGGCCUGUACUGACGCUCAUGCACGAAAGCGUGGGGAGUAAACAGGAUUAGAUACCCUGGUAGUCCACGCCCUAAACGAUGGGUACUAGCCGUUUGGUGCGCGAUAGCGCUGAGUGGCGAAGCUAACGCGUGAAGUACCCCGCCUGGGGAGUACGGCCGCAAGGUUGAAACUUAAAGGAAUUGGCGGG